rnacentral:rRNA from 1 species
UUUAACUGAAGAGUUUGAUCAUGGCUCAGAUUGAACGCUGGCGGCAGGCUUAACACAUGCAAGUCGAGCGGGGGAAGGUAGCUUGCUACUGGACCUAGCGGCGGACGGGUGAGUAAUGCUUAGGAAUCUGCCUAUUAGUGGGGGACAACAUC